CAAAAGAAGCAGAGGGGGCUUAGUGGUGGGGUGACUGCGUACCUUUUGUAUAAUGGGUCAGCGACUUAUAUUCUGUAGCAAGGUUAACCGUAUAGGGGAGCCGGAGGGAAACCGAGUCUUAAUUGGGCGUUAAGUUGCAGGGUAUAGACCCGAAACCCGGUGAUCUAGCCAUGGGCAGGUUGAAGGUUGGGUAACACUAACUGGAGGACCGAACCGACUAAUGUUGAAAAAUUAGCGGAUGACCUGUGGCUGGGGGUGAAAGGCCAAUCAAACCGGGAGAUAGCUGGUUCUCCCCGAAAGCUAUUUAGGUAGCGCCUCGUGAAUUCAUCUCCGGGGGUAGAGCACUGUUUCGGCUAGGGGGCCAUCCCGGCUUACCAACCCGAUGCAAACUGCGAAUACCGGAGAAUGUUAUCACGGGAGACACACGGCGGGUGCUAACGUCCGUCGUGAAGAGGGAAACAACCCAGACCGCCAGCUAAGGUCCCAAAGUCAUGGUUAAGUGGGAAACGAUGUGGGAAGGCCCAGACAGCCAGGAUGUUGGCUUAGAAGCAGCCAUCAUUUAAAGAAAGCGUAAUAGCUCACUGGUCGAGUCGGCCUGCGCGGAAGAUGUAACGGGGCUAAACCAU
rnacentral:rRNA from 1 species